GCGAGAGUGGCGGAAAAGGAAUACGCAAAAGACUUAAAAUCUUUGGAGGCAAAACUCGUGUGGGUUCAAGUCCCACCUUUCGCACCA
rnacentral:tRNA from 1 species